rnacentral:rRNA from 1 species
GGGGGAUAACUUUGGGAAACUGAAGCUAAUACCGCAUGACACCUGAGGGUCAAAGGCGCAAGUCGCCUGUGGAGGAACCUGCGUUCGAUUAGCUAGUUGGUGGGGUAAAGGCCUACCAAGGCGAUGAUCGAUAGCUGGUCUGAGAGGAUGAUCAGCCACACUGGGACUGAGACACGGCCCAGACUCCUACGGGAGGCAGCAGUGGGGAAUAUUGGACAAUGGGCGCAAGCCUGAUCCAGCAAUGCCGCGUGUGUGAAGAAGGUUUUCGGAUUGUAAAGCACUUUCAGCGGGGACGAUGAUGACGGUACCCGCAGAAGAAGCCCCGGCUAACUUCGUGCCAGCAGCCGCGGUAAUACGAAGGGGGCAAGCGUUGCUCGGAAUGACUGGGCGUAAAGGGCGCGUAGGCGGUUGACACAGUCAGGUGUGAAAUUCCCGGGCUUAACCUGGGGUCUGCAUUUGAUACGUGGCGACUAGAGUGUGAGAGAGGGUUGUGGAAUUCCCAGUGUAGAGGUGAAAUUCGUAGAUAUUGGGAAGAACACCGGUGGGGAAGGCGGCAACCUGGCUCAUGACUGACGCUGAGGCGCGAAAGCGUGGGGAGCAAAC